rnacentral:miRNA from 1 species
UUUAUGAUUCCUCUCAGAGAUACUGUUCAGCCAGGAACUCUCAGUAAUCCCAGCACUCUGGGAGGCUGAGGCAGGAGGAU